rnacentral:rRNA from 1 species
UACGUAGGGGCCUAGCGUUGUCCGGAUUUAUUGGGCGUAAAGAGCUCGUAGGCGGUUCGGUAAGUCAGGUGUGAAAUCUCCACGCUCAACGUGGAGGGGCCACCUGAUACUGCCGUGACUCGAGUCCGGUAGGGGAGUGUGGAAUUCCCGGUGUAGCGGUGAAAUGCGCAGAUAUCGGGAGGAACACCAGUAGCGAAGGCGGCUCUCUGGGACGGUACUGACGCUGAGACGCGAAAGCGUGGGGAGCGAACAGG